UACGUAGGGGGCAAGCGUUGUCCGGAUUUAUUGGGCGUAAAGAGCGUGUAGGCGGUUUGGUAGGUCCGUUGUGAAAACUCGAGGCUCAACCUCGAGACGCCGAUGGAAACCAUCAGACUAGAGUCCGGAAGAGGAGAGUGGAAUUCCUGGUGUAGCGGUGAAAUGCGCAGAUAUCAGGAAGAACACCCGUGGCGAAGGCGGCUCUCUGGGACGGUACUGACGCUGAGACGCGAAAAGCGUGGGGAGCGAACAGG
rnacentral:rRNA from 1 species